rnacentral:tRNA from 1 species
GCAGAUAUGGCUCAGUGGUAGAGCAUUUGCCUAGCAUGUGAAAGGCCCUGAGUCUGAACCCCAGCACUGCA